rnacentral:tRNA from 1 species
AGCCUAUUAGCUCAGUGGAUAGAGCGCCGGUUUCCGAAACCGGAGGCCGGGGGUUCGAGUCCCUCAUAGGCUG